rnacentral:rRNA from 1 species
UAAUAAUGGCGAGAAGGUCACACCCGUUCCCAUACCGAACACGGAAGUUAAGCUUCUCAGCGCCGAUGGUAGUUGGGACUUUGUCCCUGUGAGAGUAGGACGUUGCCAGGC